UAUGAACUGAAGUAUCUUUGCCGAAAUGCCGAAGUUUAGAUGUGAGUGGAAGAUAUGAGAGAGUCAGCCUCACUCCCAUUUCUUCUGCUCACUUGCCAAACCACACCAACAACAUAUACCUAUUUGAAAUGCUGACUGCAGUUGCAAAACACAGUACUCUGAUAUGUGGUUCUGAGUAGACAAGCUGGGUUGCUGACACAACUACUUAGAUCUGAAGGUGAUCCUGAGUGAUUGAAACAUAAUCUAAUUAACAAUGGGCAAAUGAGACAGAAAAUAAAUGAGAAUUAUAUUACAUGCCAAAUGAUUCCUUUCUUUAGUGUCAGUUUUUCACAACAGUACGCCCUUUCUGAAAAUACCAUUUUAACUGUGUAAUUGCUAGGGCAAUAUAGUUUCUCAGUAUUUACUCUUUGCUGUAUCUGGUUGUUCUGCCAGUUUCAAGAAGUGAAAUGCAGUUUACUGAGAGUCAAAUAAAAUCUGUCUUUCAAACUCACUU